GGCCUCGCCAACGACCACAUCCAUGUGCGCGCCUACGCCUAUCUGUGUGGCCGUACUUAACAACACUACCGUGCCACGUCUCCAUAUCCGGCCUUCAACAGUCAGACGACACCUUGACUACUCUGGCCAUACCCUGCUGUGACUGUCAACACCCUACCGUUCUCAAGAACGGGCAGUACUAUACACCACUAGCCAGCCUAAACUGUGCGCCAUCCGGCUCAGAGCCACUCCCCCUCA
rnacentral:lncRNA from 1 species